UUAGAGAGACAGGUUUCGAACCUAUGUUUAAGNAAUCAAAAUUCUUCGUAAUUCCAUUUUACUACCCCCU
rnacentral:tRNA from 1 species